rnacentral:tRNA from 1 species
GGCGGCAUAGCCAAGCGGCUAAGGCAGUGGAUUGCAAAUCCUCCAUCCCCCGUUCGAAUCGGGGUGCCGCCUCCA